rnacentral:lncRNA from 1 species
ACUCCUACUCUAUACUACCCUACUACAUCAAAAGUAGAUAAAAAGAAAUGAGUAUGUGUGUGCAAAAAUCUGCAACACCAUUCCCUUUCCCCUAUGCCAGCCGCCCCACUCCUCCAAUCCCAUUCUCCCUGCCCCUCCUACCUAUUCUCUAGCACACUCAAGUGUGCAGCCUCCAUCCACCCUUUAUACUACCCCAACACUUCACCCAUUCCUUCCAUUUCGCACCAGCAAUCACAAAGAGAAGGGAGACUUGGCUUAAUUACUCUGCCAAGACUUCAAGCUGCUCCAGUCCAGUAGUACCCCAACACUCGAAGCAUUGGAGGAAGAAAUCAUUUACUGCACUGCUGCCAAACUUCAAGGAAGUAGGCUUUCUUCAACUUUCUUCAUCACCUUCUAAAUUCCACCUGCAUUAAUGCAAAGAUCAACAUUCUAUUUCAGUUCCAACCCCUUAAAGACCUUAACAAAAAAUAAGCAGGAGAGAGCAUUCGUUCACUCUCUGCCAGAACUUUUCAAGUCAUUCCAGCCCAUAUAAUCAACAACCAUCAACCAAAAACUUCCACAAGGUAUUCAUAGUAUCUCAGUUAUUUAAAUUCCAUCCACACUUCAUACUAACAAGCAUGAUCAGUUUCAUAUUACAGAGGGAUAUAGCAAAUCACAUAUGCAUACAUGAUCUAUAGCAUUUCACAAUAGGCUAUGAUUUAUACAGUGUUAUACUCUGCACUCUAGAACCGCAAAUCAUGAGAACCCCCACCCUUAACAUCUAGAAAUUGAAGUAGAAGAAGAAUGAGAGUAGAUAACUUAGCUUAUAGAAGAAGGGCCGACUGCCCUGUCCAGUCGAGCCCUAGGAAUCGGUGAGGAAGAACUCUUGCUGCCCGAUCGGAGCUAAAACGGCAGCAGCGGCGGCAUGGCGCAACUCGAAUUCCAUCGACCCCGGAGAACAACGAAGGCGGACCUUUCCCUGGUCGCCGGAGGAACGCGAAGGAGAUGACGGCGAUUCGUGGAGGAGAAUGAAACCGGCAGUCAGUCGCCGGAUUUACAGAGCCACGGCGGCCACCACCGGAUUUCAGAUAGGCGUGAAGGCAGCGGCGAC